rnacentral:misc_RNA from 1 species
AAGUCGUAACAAGGUUUCCGUAGGUGAACCUGCGGAAGGAUCAUUAUUGAAUGAAUCUAGAGUUGGUUGUCGCUGGCCCUGUCAAAAGGGGCAUGUGCACGCCUUCUCUUUUCAUCCACACACCCCUGUGCACUUGUGAGACGGGGGGGGGAGGAGGCAUUUAUUUGCCAAAGUCCUCCCGUCUACUUAAUCACACAAACUCAUUGUACUUGAACUGAAUGUAAUUGAUGUAACGCAUCAUUUGAACUAAGUUUCAACAACGGAUCUCUUGGCUCUC